AUCGACUGUCUUCUUUAUUAAUAACAAAGAUUAACGUUUGCAAGAUUUAUCUUGCUUAGAAUUUCAUUUACAUUUCAGUUUAUUUAUCAUGUAUAGUUUUGAAUCAUAUCCUGUGCACGUUACGUUACAUCAUAGUAUCAUCCAUUGAAUGUACGUGUUUUUAAGACCUAACUGGUACUCGUUUACAAAUUCAGUUUGUUGAAAGCCAUUGCUUGAAAGCUUCAACGAAGCUUUGAGGUUUCCAAUUAAAUUUAUUUAUUUCCAAUUUCUCUAGUAUAGUAUCCAGUCGGUCUCAGUUAUGGUAUUCUAUACAGUUACACGAUUGUCGAUCAGACAACAAUUAAUUAACUUGAACGCCGAUAUUAAAGAAUGCUUUAUCGUUCGUCCAGAAUUCAUUGCUUUUGCUAUUCUUUUUUCCAAUAAAUAUACAUGAAUAAUUCUCGCAACUGCUCCCUUCUUUGCGGCCAGCGAUACGUAUAGGCGGAGCUGAGGGGAUGGUUUUCCAGCGUGCGUGAAAACACAGGGGAGGAAAUAAUUGUUGAGCAUCGUAUCGCCUCGCCAGGCCGAAGCUAAUAUUGGAUUAGUUUUUAAUUCGAGCCGCCCCUCCAAUUUCGUCUGUAAAAUACACGCGAAAUAACGCACGCGUACGAUU
rnacentral:misc_RNA from 1 species